rnacentral:tRNA from 1 species
GCCGCGAUAGCUCAGUGGUAGAGCGCGUCCUUGGUAAGGACGAGGUCCCGGGUCCAAAUCCCGGCCGCGGCUCCA